rnacentral:misc_RNA from 1 species
GCCUCCAUAGCCUCACAAAUCUCAUUGCCCCUCCGAAACUCUUCUGUCAUUAUGCGCAAAGUGCUGGAUGACACAUUGUAGCUAGAAUUCAUACAAGGAUACGCAGGUGUAAUAAUAGGCAUCAAAUGGAACCUGUCUUUUGGAUUUCUUCUAGGAUCCCAAACCUGAAGACCAAGAGAUCCUUCUUCAAUGGCACAGAGCAUGACUGGAUUUGGCCAACGCCAUUGAGUAUAUACCCUAAAGAACCGAGAUACUAGCAUAUUGGGCAAUGCAUUGGGAUAUAGCUGGCAUAUACGAGCAACAAGUAAUGCCCAAUUUAUACCAC